rnacentral:tRNA from 1 species
AAAUAAGAAGUAAAAAUUACGUUUAGUUUCGACCUAAAAAUUUGGUAUUUAAUACCCUUAUUUA